AUACGGAGGAUCCGAGCGUUAUCCGGAUUUAUUGGGUUUAAAGGGUGCGCAGGCGGCCAUUUAAGUCAGCGGUUAAAUCGUGGGGCUCAACCCCAUUCUGCCGUUGAUACUGGGUGGCUUGAUUGCGGUCGAGGUUGGCGGAAUUCGUUGUGUAGCGGUGAAAUGCAUAGAUAUGACGAAGAACACCGAUUGCGUAGGCAGCUGACCAGAUCGCAAAUGACGCUCAUGCAUGAAAGUGCGGGGAUCGAACAGGAUUAGAUACCCUGGUAGUCCGCACAGUAAACGAUGAAUACUUGUUUUCGGCGAUAUAAUGUCGGAGGCAAAGCGAAAGCGAUAAGUAUUCCACCUGGGGAGUACGCCGGCAACGGUGAAACUUAAAGGAAUUGACGGGG
rnacentral:rRNA from 1 species